rnacentral:tRNA from 1 species
GGGGCGGUAGCUCAGCUGGGAGAGCGUCGCGUUCGCAAUGCGAAGGUCGGGAGUUCGCGCCUCCUCCGCUCCACCA